UGGCAACCUCACCACAAACGCACACCCAACAACCAUUCCAUUCCUCUCCAGGCAGCAGCACGUUGACAGCCCACAGAUGGAAACCACAGACCACGACGAAGUCCCAUACUCCACCAUCGCCCACGUUCGACGGGACAGGCCUCCUCCCAUGCAGCAGAUGAGCAACACCACAACGUAUGCCACGGUGACCCGCACCCAGAUCCGAUAGCGUUGCCACCGGGCAAGGGCACAGGAGCCUUGCCCAUGUUUGCCUUCACUGUCUUGUAGGAAGCUCUUGCAACCAUACCGUUGGGCUGGGGGGUGCACUUCGGGGUUCUUUGGGAUUUUCUGUCACAGGGAAAGGCUGUGUGUGCCUAGCCAAGAUGUUGAAGGAUUCAUAUCUCAGUUUGCAAUAAAUCAAUACCUCU
rnacentral:lncRNA from 1 species